CGUCCUUCUCUCCUUUCUACUAAAAGUAAUUAGCCGGAGUAACAUGAACAAACUUUGGGAAACUUUUUGUCAAUAUGGGCAAGAAUACACCAAGAAUUUUCAAGAUUUUUUAGUACACCAUUUGGCCAACUUUUAUAUUUUUGUAAUGAAUGAAUUUUAUCAUAUUAUUCAAGUGAUUCAUAGCUUUGUUGGUCAGUAUAAUGACCAAUUUAAAAAUGCUAUUAACUUUAUAGCGCUUAAGCUUUCUCCUUUAAAACCAUAUGCCGACGAAUUUUUUGAGAAUUUGAAUUACUUUAUUACACGAAGCCUUCCUGAAUAUUUAAGAAGAGCGCCCAUACCGAGAAGUCUUGAACACGUUUCUCACCUUACCAAGAACGACCUUUAUUAUCUUCUUCCUUUAAUUUUAUUUUAUGUCAUUGUAUUAGUUUGUACAUUUCAGUCGAUCUUUAUACUAUUUAGCACUGAUUCUUCUGAAAAGUGGAGAUCCUACGCAAAAAAAUAUAGGGAUAUGUAUCAUUAUGAAAGAAGACAGAAUCAGUCUAUAAAAAAUAAUAGCCAUAACAGUACUACAGAAAAGAAGUC